UACGUAGGGUGCAAGCGUUAAUCGGAAUUACUGGGCGUAAAGCGUGCGCAGGCGGCUUUGCAAGACAGAUGUGAAAUCCCCGGGCUUAACCUGGGAACUGCAUUUGUGACUGCAUGGCUGGAGUGCGGCAGAGGGGGAUGGAAUUCCGGCGUGUAGCAGUGAAAUGCGUAGAUAUGGGGAGGAACACCGGUGGCGAAGGCGGCCAUCUGGACGGCUAUUGACGCUGAGACGCGAAAGCGUGGGGAGCAAACAGG
rnacentral:rRNA from 1 species